UCUCUCCUUUGGUCCUUCCCAUGUCGACUCCAUGUGGGUGGCCGCCGUUCUUCUCUUCCAAUCAAAUCCACGACGAGGAGGCCACACCCUUCUCCUCCGGCCAGAUCCAUGCCAUGGGAACCUCCCUUCUUCUUCUCCAGCCAGAUCCACGACGUGGUGGCCGCGCCCUUCUACCCCAGCCAGAUCCAUGCCAUGGGAACCUCAGGAAGCUCCGCCGCCUCAUCCUUGAUGCCAAGCUCACGCCCUUCCACCGGGGCGCCGACGACGCGCGCGCCGACCUCGACGAGUGCCCCAUCUACUUCCUGGUAACCAUCCUCUUCCCC
rnacentral:lncRNA from 1 species